GCCUUCUGCAGUGGAAACAUGGGGGCCCCCUGAGUUGCUGCUGCUCACCACUCCUUCCCAACUCUGUCGCCCAAGUACCAACGCAGAGGCAUGGCCGGCACCCGCCCGCGGCUUCCCUCCCGCGUCUGUACCCGCUGCACGGUCCCUGGUGUGUUUACGUGUCCAUUUCCCCCUGCGUGCACUAGAGCCCAUUGCACAAAGAUUCGCGCAAUAGGACUUCUUUCCCCGGGCUGCUGGCAGCGGUUUUCCUCGGGCACCCAGGACCCAGGCCUUUGGUCCAGCCGCAGCGGAGAAGCCAAGCCUUUUCAGUCUUCAGUCGUCUUCAGUCUUCACUCAGGCAGGAGCCUUCAGUCUUUGCUCCGUGCCUGCGUAUGCAAAUUAGCCCACCAUCUUUGUUAGGUUAAUUUGCAUGCUCAUCCUGAUUGGCUGGUGGGUGUAGCGGAGUGACAACCAAUUUGCAUCUCUUUUAUUAGUGUAGAUGAUUGUACUUUUGUUUAUUAAGUCCAAAGGUUUUCCACCUUUUAUCCCCAUUGAAAGACACGGUUGAUAAAGUCACGUGCACAAUCCAAUCCUGCUCAAAUACCCAGGGCAUACAGUUACACUUUGCCUCCACUCACACAGACAGCUGAGUGCCUACUGUGUGCCAGGCCCCCAGGGUAUUACGGCAAAUCAAGUACACAUGGACCCUGCUUCUUGCAAUGCAAGUGGGGAGGAGGGACGUAUUUAUUAUAAGAAUAAUCCUAAAUCUACUCCAAUUCAUUUUUUACUGAUUUUUCUUUUUUUUGAGAGAGAGAGAGAGAGAGAGAGAAACAUCGAUUUGUUGUUCCACCUAUCGAUGCAUUCAUUGGUUGAUUCUUGUAUGUGCCCUGACCGGGAAUCCAGCCCAUAACCUUGGCAUAUCAGGAUGACGCUCCAACCAAGAGCUACCCGGCCAGGAACCAUUCAUUUUUAUGUAUCAUCAACAAACUGUAAUUUAGUAUCGGCAACAAAUGACCAUGUUUGCAAACCGUCUUACAAUUAAAAUAAUAGUGGGUGGGCAAUAUUGAUUUAAACUGCCCCCUAA